CCUGCACCUGCCGGCGACCGGCGCACGGGUGAGUAACACGUAUGGAACCUGCCCGCCACAGGGGGAUAACCCGGGGAAACCCGGCCUAAUACCCCAUGCCGCCCGGACCGGGCAUCCGGUCCGGGCGAAAGGAGGAAUCCGGUGGCGGCUGGGCAUGCGGCGCAUUAGCUUGACGGCGGGGUAACGGCCCACCGUGGCGACGAUGCGUAGGGGUUCUGAGAGGAAGGCCCCCCACACUGGAACUGAGACACGGACCAGACUCCUACGGAAGGCAGCAG
rnacentral:rRNA from 1 species